rnacentral:ncRNA from 8 species
CGUAGGUGAACCUGCGGAAGGAUC